rnacentral:misc_RNA from 2 species
UGUUAAGUCUGGUUUCCCUCCAGGGUAUCUAAGCUUUGAAAAAAAA